GAAGGGUGGUUUUUAUUGUUUUUUUUUAGUUGUUGGUUUCUUGAAAGAAAUAGUUUUUUUAUCAUUAAGGGUUUAGAACAUAUAAUUAUUAUGAUAGUUUAUGGUAUUGUGAAAGAUUAUAUUAAUUUUAUUAAAAGAAGAAUUUUAUUUUUGUACCUUGUGCAUCAGGGUUGAUUAAACAUAUUUGAGUAUUCGGUGUUCUCGAAUUUAAAAGAGUUAAUUAUCUAUGUAUUUUAUUGUUUAAUAAAUAUUUAUAAUAGUUAAUUUGAAGCGAAACGUUAGUCGUUUUUAAAGAUAUCUAGUUUUUAAAUAAAUGAAUUUAAUUCAGCUAUUAAUAUUUAAGGUUUUAAUUUAUUAAUUCUUUAUUUUUAAUAAGUAAUUUUUUGAGGGAUAAGCUUCGAAAAAUAAAACUAUAACAUUAAUAAAUUUGAAUAGUUUAUAGGAUUAUAAUUUUCCACCAAUAUAAAAAUGUUAUAAUUGAUUAUUUUUUAUAUAUUAUUUUUAUUAUGUUUAGUUUUUAUAUUUAUAUGCAGGCUUUAACAACAAAGGUUUGGCAAUAAUGAUUAAAUUAGUAAAUAUUUUUGUAUUAUAUAAUUUUGUUUAUUAAGGUUGGAUUAAGGAAUUCGGCAAAUAGUGUUUUCUACCUGUUUAUUAAAAACAUGUCCUUUUGAUUAUAAUUUAAGGUCUAAUCUGCCCACUGAAGAUUUUAAAUGGCCGCGGUAUUUUGACCGUGCUAAGGUAGCAUAAUAAUUAGUUUCUUAAUUAGGAGCUGGAAUGAAAGAUUGAAUAAGAAAACUACUGUCUCAAUCUAAAUUAUUUUGAAUUUUAUUUUUAAGUUAAAAAGCUUAAAUGUUUUUAAAAGACGAGAAGACCCUAUAGAGUUUUAUUUAGGUACUAAUAUAAGGUUUUAUUGAUUAAAAAAAUUUUAUUUUUUUACUAAAUUUUGUUGGGGUGACAGAAAAAUUAGCGUAACUUUUUUUUAAAUUAA
rnacentral:rRNA from 1 species